rnacentral:rRNA from 1 species
UACGUAGGGGGCAAGCGUUGUCCGGAUUUAUUGGGCGUAAAGCGCGUGUAGGCGGCUUGGUAGGUCAGCUGUGAAAACUCGAGGCUCAACCUCGAGCUGUCGGUUGAAACCACCUUGCUAGAGUCCGGAAGAGGAGAGUGGAAUUCCUGGUGUAGCGGUGAAAUGCGCAGAUAUCAGGAAGAACACCAAUGGCGAAGGCAGCUCUCUGGGACGGUACUGACGCUGAGGCGCGAAAGCGUGGGGAGCGAACAGG